rnacentral:rRNA from 1 species
UGCGCAGGCGGUUUUGUAAGACAGUGGUGAAAUCCCCGGGCUCAACCUGGGAACUGCCAUUGUGACUGCAAGGCUAGAGUGCGGCAGAGGGGGAUGGAAUUCCGCGUGUAGCAGUGAAAUGCGUAGAUAUGCGGAGGAACACCGAUGGCGAAGGCAAUCCCCUGGGCCUGCACUGACGCUCAUGCACGAAAGCGUGGGGAGCAAACAG